rnacentral:tRNA from 7 species
GACUUAAAAAAUCCGUUGGCUUUAUAGACCGUGAGGGUUCAAGUCCCUCUACCCCCA